rnacentral:rRNA from 1 species
GACGAACGCUGGCGGCGUGCUUAACACAUGCAAGUCGAACGGAAAGGCCCUGCUUUUGUGGGGUGCUCGAGUGGCGAACGGGUGAGUAACACGUGAGUAACCUGCCCUUGACUUUGGGAUAACUUCAGGAAACUGGGGCUAAUACCGGAUAGGAGCUCCUGCUGCAUGGUGGGGGUUGGAAAGUUUCGGCGGUUGGGGAUGGACUCGCGGCUUAUCAGCUUGUUGGUGGGGUAGUGGCUUACCAAGGCUUUGACGGGUAGCCGGCCUGAGAGGGUGACCGGCCACAAUGGGACUGACGUACGGCCCAGACUACAAAGGGACGCAGCAGUGGGGAAUAAUGCACAAUGGGCGGAAGCCGGAUGCAGCCACGCCGCGUGCGGGAUAACGGCCUUCGGGUUGUAAACCGCUUUCGCUUGUGACGAAGCGUGAGUGACGGUAAUGUGUAAAGAAGCACCGGCUAACUACGUG